rnacentral:rRNA from 1 species
CAGCCGCCACGGGAAUAUGAGGGGGGCAAGCGUUGUUCGGAAUUAUUGGGCGUAAAGGGUGCGUAGGCGGUCUGAUAAGUCUUAUGUGAAAUCUAUGGGCUCAACCGGGGAGGGUCAUUGGAAACUGGGAAACUUGAGUGCAGAAGAGGAGAGUGGAAUUCCACGUGUAGCGGUGAAAUGCGUAGAGAUGUGGAGGAACACCAGUGGCGAAGGCGACUCUCUGGUCUGUAACUGACGCUGAGGAGCGAAAGCGUGGGGAGCGAACAGGAUUAGAUACCCCUGUAGUCCCUGUCUCUUAUAC